CAGUCGCCGCGGUAAUACGGAGGGUGCAAGCGUUAAUCGGAAUUACUGGGCGUAAAGCGCACGCAGGCGGCUUCUUAAGUCGGAUGUGAAAUCCCUGAGCUUAACUUAGGAAUUGCAUUCGAUACUGGGAAGCUAGAGUAUGGGAGAGGAUGGUAGAAUUCCAGGUGUAGCGGUGAAAUGCGUAGAGAUCUGGAGGAAUACCGAUGGCGAAGGCAGCCAUCUGGCCUAAUACUGACGCUGAGGUACGAAAGCAUGGGGAGCAAACAGGAUUAGAUACCCCAGUAGUCCCUGUCUCUUAUAC
rnacentral:rRNA from 1 species